rfam:Capsicum annuum cultivar Zunla-1 chromosome 2, whole genome shotgun sequence
CAGUAACUUUGAUAUUGGCCUGGUUCACUCAGACUAAAAAAUGAAACUAUUUGAAUGGAGUCUAGUUUCUGUUUGAUCGAUCUGUUUCCGUUUGAUUGAGCCGUGCCAAUAUCUUAGUUUCUCUU